CACGUAGGGCGCGAGCGUUUGUUCGGAAUUAUUGGGCGUAAAGAGCUCGUAGGCGGCCUGUUGCGUCCGCUGUGAAAGCCCGGGGCUUAACCCCGGGUCUGCAGUGGAUACGGGCAGGCUAGAGGUAGGUAGGGGAGAAUGGAAUUCCCGGUGUAGCGGUGAAAUGCGCAGAUAUCGGGAGGAACACCGGUGGCGAAGGCGGUUCUCUGGGCCUUACCUGACGCUGAGGAGCGAAAGCGUGGGGAGCGAACAGG
rnacentral:rRNA from 1 species